GGGGUUGUGGCUCAGUGCUAGAGUGCUUUCCUAGAAUGUAUGAAACACUGGGUUUGAUUCUCAGCACUGCA
rnacentral:tRNA from 1 species